UACAGAGGUCCCAAGCGUUGUUCGGAUUCACUGGGCGUAAAGGGUGCGUAGGCGGUCGGGUAAGUCUGAUGUGAAAUCUCACAGCUUAACUGUGAAACUGCAUUGGAUACUAUCCGGCUCGAGGAAUGGAGGGGAGACUGGAAUACUUGGUGUAGCAGUGAAAAGCGUAGAUAUCAAGUGGAACACCAGUGGCGAAGGCGAGUCUCUGGACAUUUCCUGACGCUGAGGCACGAAAGCCAGGGGAGCAAACGGG
rnacentral:rRNA from 1 species